rnacentral:lncRNA from 1 species
GAGCAGACUCUGGAGUCUGACUUCCUAGCGAAGUCAGCCAUGUGGCCAGCAUCUGUCUUCAGAUUGGGUUACCCGACUGAUGUCUCAGUGCCACACUCUGUCAUCAGUGGACACAAGCAGGUCUUAGCUUGGUCGGUGGAGACUGAGUACACCUGCCCACUUGCUAAAAUGGUCAAAGCGUUUGUGGAUGAUCCAUCUACAUUUGUGGCUGCUGCCCCUGUGGCUGCUGCCCCAGCUAAAGCUGAAGCCAAGGAAUAGUCAGAGGAAUCAGAUGAGGAUGUGGGACUCGGACUA